rnacentral:rRNA from 1 species
CGGCUCAGUAACACGUGGAUAACCUACCCUUGAGACGGGGAUAAACCCGGGAAACUGGGUAUAAUACCCGAUAGAUCUCGACUGCUGGAAUGCAUCGAGCUUGAAAGCUCCGGCGCUCAAGGAUGGGUCUGCGGCCUAUCAGGUAGUAGUGGGUGUAGCGUACCUACUAGCCUACGACGGGUACGGGUUGUGAGAGCAAGAGCCCGGAGAUGGAUUCUGAGACACGAAUCCAGGCCCUACGGGGUGCAGCAGGCGCGAAAACUUUACAAUGCUGGAAACAGCGAUAAGGGGACCUCGAGUGCCAGGUUACAAAUCUGGCUGUCGUGAUGCCUAAAAAGCAUUGCAUAGCAAGGGCCGGGCAAGACCGGUGCCAGCCGCCGCGGUAACACCGGCGGCUCGAGUGGUAACCGUUAUUAUUGGGUCUAAAGGGUCUGUAGCCGGCCGGAUAAGUCUCUUGGGAAAUCUGGCAGCUUAACUGUCAGGCUUUCAGGAGAUACUGUCUGGCUCGAGGCCGGGAGAGGUGAGAGGUACUUCAGGGGUAGGGGUGAAAUCUUGUAAUCCUUGAAGGACCACCAGUGGCGAAGGCGUCUCACCAGAACGGACCUGACGGCAAGGGACGAAAGCUAGGGGCACGAACCGGAUUAGAUACCCGGGUAGUCCUAGCCGUAAACG